rnacentral:rRNA from 1 species
GACGAACGCUGGCGGCGUGCUUAACACAUGCAAGUCGAACGGAAAGGCCCUGCUUUUGUGGGGUGCUCGAGUGGCGAACGGGUGAGUAACACGUGAGUAACCUGCCCUUGACUUUGGGAUAACUUCAGGAAACUGGGGCUAAUACCGGAUAGGAGCUCCUGCUGCAUGGUGGGGGUUGGAAAGUUUCGGCGGUUGGGGAUGGACUCGGGGCUUAUCAGCUUGUUGGUGGGGUAGUGGCUUACCAAGGCUUUGACGGGUAGCCGGCCUGAGAGGGUGACCGGCCACAUAGGCCUUGGGGUAGGACCCGGACGCCAACGUGGGCCAGGGGGGGGAAAUAGUGCACAAGGGGCGGAGGCCGGGUACAGCACCGCCGGGUUGGGAAUGACGGCUUUCGGGUUGUAAACCCCUUUCGCCAAUAACGAGGCGUGAUGACGGUAAAGGGGGAAAGAGGAACGGCUAAACAACGU